CCUGCGGGGGGCUGCAGUGGGGAAUAUUGGACAAUGGGCGAAAGCCUGAUCCAGCCAUGCCGCGUGUGUGAAGAAGGCCUUCGGGUUGUAAAGCACUUUCAGUGGGGAAGAAAGCCUUGGGGCUAAUACCCUCGAGGAAGGACAUCACCCACAGAAGAAGCACCGGCUAACUCCGUGCCAGCAGCCGCGGUAAUACGGAGGGUGCGAGCGUUAAUCGGAAUUACUGGGCGUAAAGCGCGCGUAGGCGGUCUGAUAAGCCGGUUGUGAAAGCCCCGGGCUCAACCUGGGAACGGCAUCCGGAACUGUCAGGCUAGAGUGCAGGAGAGGAAGGUAGAAUUCCCGGUGUAGCGGUGAAAUGCGUAGAGAUCGGGAGGAAUACCAGUGGCGAAGGCGGCCUUCUGGACUGACACUGACGCUGAGGUGCGAAAGCGUGGGUAGCAAACAGGAUUAGAUACCCGGGUAGUC
rnacentral:rRNA from 1 species